GACGAACGCUGGCGGCGUGCUUAACACAUGCAAGUCGAACGGAAAGGCCCUGCGUUUGUGGGGUGCUCGAGUGGCGAACGGGUGAGUAACACGUGAGUAACCUGCCCUUGACUUUGGGAUAACUUCAGGAAACUGGGGCUAAUACCGGAUAGGAGCUCCUGCUGCAUGGUGGGGGUUGGAAAGUUUCGGCGGUUGUGGAUGGUCUCGCGGCUUAUCAGCUUGUUGGUGGGGUAGUGGCUUACCAAGGCUUUGACGGGUAGCCGGCCUGGGAGGGUGACCGGCCACAUGGGGACUAAGAUACGGCCCAGACUCGUACGGGAGGCAGCAGGCGGGAAUAUUGCGCAAUGGGCGGAAGCCUGAUGCAGCAACGCCGGGUGCGGGAUGACGGCCUUCGGGUUGUAAACCGCUUUCGACUGUGACGAAGCGUGAGUGACGGUAAUGGGUAAAGAAGCACCGGCUAACUACGUG
rnacentral:rRNA from 1 species